UGAAAUAGUUAUAUAAAUAUUUAAGUAUAUGAUUAACAUUAAAAAUAUAUACCACUUAUGUUCUAAAACAAUAAUUUAUUUAUAAAAAAGUGAAAACAAACACCCGUGCGGUUGCACGGGUCAAAAUCUAGUUUCUGUUAAGUUAAAAACUUUGAACAUACAAAUAAAUUUAUUAUUAGAAAAUUAUUUAUCGCCCACCGUAUAAUACGGUUUUGACUGAGCUACAUCAUUUUGCCUUCCGAAUAGUAACAACACAACAUAUUUGGUAAUAUAAAUGGUACAAAAUAAAAAUGAGAUACGGUCCAACAACGGUUGAUACAAUAUGCGAAAUAGUGCGGUUUUCAUAAAAAAAAAUUAUUAUUUUGAUAACAAAAGAAGUAUGGUUUUGAUAGAAAAAUAAUGCUAAAUAAAUAUAUUAAUACAGUUAACAAUUAAAUAUUUUUUAGUUAUAAUGUCAUAAUAUUUUUUUAUAAUUUUGAAUAUUAAAUUAACUUGAAAUAAACAUUCAAAUUAUAUAUAUAUAUAUAUAUAUAUAUUUCUGUAUAUAGUCUUAACUACUAAAGUUCAGUUAAAAAAAUAAUUAAAUUUUAAAAAUAAUUUAAAAAGUGUUAAAUAACAAAAUACUGUAAUACAAGAAAAAAGAACACAAUACAACACAAACUUAAAAAGUAAAUAGUUUUGUAAAAUAAAUUCAUAUUUUAAAUUAAAUAGAAAAAUAAUAGUUUAAAACACAUACAAAUAAGAACUUAGUUGCUAAACAUUUAUAUAAAUGUGCGAAAUUCAAAUAAAAUAACAUAAUGUUUACUAAUAACAGGCACAAAAUAUAUAAUAUAGAUAAACCAAUGAUAGCAUUUUUAAUAUUUCCUUAUAUCUAUUUCCAAGCAUACAUUUAUGGAAUGGUCACUAUCUGAACACAUGGUACUAAAUAAAUUACUACUGUAUAUGAUACUGGUAUGUUGGACUAAUUGAUAGCUGGAAAUAAUUAUGGAAAUGGUUGACAAAAUUAUAUAUCGGAAUAAAAAAAUUAGCGGAAUAUGACAUUAUCAUUUAAUUUAAAAUGGCGGUAUCAUAUUAGAUUAAUUAAUGGAAUUUCCUUACAAAAGUCAAGCAAUUUGCAAUUUAAAUAUAUUUUUGUACACUGAAUGUUUUCGUAUCAGCUUUUGUUGGUCAACUCUUUUCUUAAAGAAACUUCAGCUGGAGUGAAGAAUCAGCCGAAACUAGAAAAGUAAUUAAUAUUUAGUUAGAAUUGCAUGAAAUUUGAGAAUAAGUGAUGCUUUCGGCAUAGUGUUUAACUCCUUAAUGGUAUUGAAAAGGUGCAUAGUGUUUGUUUGUUCAUAGGACAAAAGGCCAAAUUAAAGCCAUUAUAAGUUUAUGCGUUUUCGUUACGGUAAUGAAACUAGUCUGAUUUUUAUAAUCUAAUAGAGUCUUUUUUUUAACACUUUAAUUUAAUACAAAGUAGUCAGUGGACUUUAUAUCUGCAUCACCAUGUUUUCUGAUUCUUCGUUCAAAUUUGUUUAGGAACAUAUAAAUAUAGUCCGUGAUUUUAUGGUUGACUGGUAAAAAAUGGGUAUGGGUGUCAAUUCAUUUAAGGUUCCAUCCAUCUGAUAGCGCUAAAUUAAGUUACAUUAAUACUGAACACAAACACCAGUACCCAAAAAAAAGUAUAUCUGUAAAAUUUACCUCUUUUUAGAAAUUAGUUUCAACUCUCUCAUAGGUUUAAAAUACCCUCAAUUGUUUUUUAAGAAAACAAAAGAAUAUAUAAAUAUAACAAAACAUUACAUAACGUUGACAAAAAAAAACAUUAUAUAAAUACAAAGGUGCAAUAUUUUCUCAAGAAAUUACUAGGGUUCUAAUUGUUUGUUAUGAUUAGGUAAAAGAUCAUGGUAGGCAUGCAGGUUGUGUUUUUUCGGUUUUGUAGGGAUCGGUUAAUUCGAAUUCGGUUAGUUCAGGACUAUUGAAAUCUCACCGAAGUAAACUGAAAAAAUUAACUUUGGUUUUCGGUUUCAAAAUUUCUACCAAAGUUUAUGGUUUUCGAUUCAUUUUUUUAUUUAAAUUGAAUAAAAUUCGUAACUUUUUGAUUAAGUUUGGUUAUUUCGGUUAGUUUGGUUAGUUUGGUUCGGGUUUUGGUUAAGAAUUAUAUUGUCUAAAAAACAUUUUUUUAGAAAACUGAAUUAACUGAUUACCAAAUCAAACCAAAAACCAAAUUUAUUUUUAGUUUCCAAACUGAAUCAAACUUUCUAACCGAACUAAACCGAAAACCAAACUUUUUGGUUCAGUUUGUAUCGGCAGGUUUGGUUCGGUUUAUAACUGUAGGCCUAGAACAUGGCUGAAACAAUUAUCUUGGUUCUUUCUUAGUUUCAGUUAAUUAGGGUAAAAGAGGUAAAAAAAAAUCAGUAUAUUUACUGAAAAUAUGGAAGACCAAUGAAAUAAAGUAUUUUCAUCUACUUCGAACCAAGAUAAUUUACUUCAGAAAAGAGGACUGGAAAAUAAUUGAAUUCUGAAUAUAUAUAUAUAUAUAUUAUUAAACUGAGUGUUUUGCCCGCAUAUGCGGACAUAAUUAUUUUAUAGAUAUUUAUAAAUAAAUAUAAUUAUUUUAUAGAUAUUUAUAAAUAAAUUUACUGUUAGUUUAAAGAUAAAAAUAUUGGAAUAAAAUAUUAAAUUUAUACUAUUUUAUGAAUCUUUCAUUUCUUAAUUUUUAACCUUUAUUGAUUUAAAACAUUAUUUUGGAUAACAACACUAGUAUUUUAUAUUUUAAAACAUGUUGUUACUUUUAACCAUUUUUAUUAUAUUAAUUUAUAAACAAUCAUCUAAUUAAAUAAACAAAUAUUUAAUUGUUAAUAUAAAAAUAUAUUAUUAAACCAAAUUCUUGGAAUUAUCAAAACCUACAAAAUCUUAAAAUAAAUAAAAACCACACAAAUGUUAGACCGAACCCAACUUUACAUAUUUGAUUAAUCAAAAUAAAUAAAUUAUUGAUAUAUGCAUAAUUAUAUUUUAAAAUACCUCCCAUAAUAACUGAAAAAACAAAAAACAGACCAACCAUGUUGACAACGAAAAUAUUAAUACGUAACAUAUAAGAUAAGAACACUUCCUAUAUAUUACCAUUUUCAUUUCUAAAUGCUAAAAUAGAGAAAAUUAAGCUAUAGUCAAUCUAUACAUUUUUAUUUUAAAAUAGACAAUAUUUUUCUAUAAAAUAGCAUUUCUUUAUUAUAAAAUCAUCAUUUGUUAUUUUAAAAUGAUCUUAUAACUUUCAAACUUUGAUAAUUAUAACUAAAACAAAUCAUUUUGGAAAAUACAGUUUUCAUAAAAAAAAUAGAAUCACAUUUUUCUUUACAUAAUAGUCUUUUAAAGAAAUUUUAAUAUAAACAAAGUUAUAAUUCAGUGAAACUUAAAAAAAUUAAAAUUAAAAUAUAGUUAAUUUUAAAUUUUUAUAAAUAUAAGUUACUUGUUGUAAAUAAAAAAGGUUAUAUUUUGAAAAUAUUCUCUUUUGUAGUAAUAUAUUUUGAAAAUAUUUUUAAAAAGAUAAUUCCAUUCCAAAUAAAAUAUUAAGAAAAUAGAAAAAACAAUAAUAAUUUUUUAAAGUUAAAUAAAAAAUACAUGUUAUCCUGAAUAAUAAGAAUAAAAACAAAAUACCACGAAACAAAUUACGUUAGCAGAAAAAAAGAAAUUAAAUUUAUUGUUAUUGUUUAUAUAUGUCGCUUAAGAAUUUUAACACUACAAUAAAACUUAAUAGUUUUUAAAAAUAUUUCAUGAUAUAUUAUGUUUACAAACAAAUAUAAUUUAUUUUAUAAUCCUAUUUUUAAUGUUUUAGUAUAACGAUAAAUUUAAUUAUUAUAUGAGUAUAUAUACUACUAAUUAUAAAUAUUAACAAAUAAGAGAGAAAGAUGUAAAUAAACACUAAAUAAAUGCAUGAAAUUAUCUUUUAUAUUUUCAAACACAUUUCAAUUUAUUUUUUGAGAUAAUGUUUAAAAUAUUAAUUUUUUAUUAGUUAAAUAAUGAACUAUAUAAUUUGUAAUUGAAUAUGUCAAAACUUUAAUCAAUCUAAUUAAUUUUGUUUUGUAUAGAUAAGUUAAUUGUAAUUAUAAUAUGUCUAUCAAUUAAUUUAAACUGUAAUUUAAGAUUAUCAUAAAAGCUAAUAUUUAAGCUAAUAUGUCUAUUUCUUAAUUUUAAUUACAAUUUGUCUCUUAAAUUUUUAUAAAUUAAUUAUUAAUCAAAUAUUUAAUUUUUGGUAAGCUAAAAUAUAUAUAAAAAGUGCAGUAGUUAAUCAGAUAACUUUUGUUUCAGAAAAUUUGUAUAAAUGUUAAAUUCAAUAAUCCAAGAUUCUAUGAAAAAACAUCUUAGAUCACCAAUUCAACCCCUUUUACUUUAUUUUCUGUUAUUUUCUUCUUCUCUACGCUUUUACACAACCAAAAACACUCUUAGGCUAAGAAAAUUGGGUAUGUCAAGAAAUUACAGUGGUUACGAAACAUUGAAUGUGUAUAAAAAUUUCAAACGUGUUGCGUGUCACGGAAAAUAAAGUACCGUGAAUGGGAGCUUUACAUUAAUUAAGAGUAUUAAUUUGUUACUAGAGCUUAAUCCGUGCAUCCGCGGAUAUUUGUUUUCUUUUAAAUAAAUAUUUAUCUGUACAAGUGAUAAUAUAUAUUUUAAAAUAUAUACAUUUAAGUAAUUGUUUAAUAUGACAUUUCAAAACAUAAUAAUUUUAUAGUUGAUAUUAUGAUAUCAUCCAUAUUAUUAGAACGUGACUCGUUUAUCCGCACAAAUGUAGUUUUAUUUUUUUUGAAACCGUGCAACAGCAGGAGUAUUUAUUUUCGCUUUUUAUAAUUAAAUUAUUGCUUUCAGAAUUUUCUAAUAUAUAUUUAUAAUUUACACAUAUUAUAUAAUGGUUUUAAAAUGAAAAUUUAAAACAUAAAAUUUUAUUUAUCACAUAAAUAAUUAUAUUUUGUUUUCUACCAUCAACUAUAUCAUCUAUAUUUCUUAUCAUAUUUAUUUUAGCCUAUUUAUAGAUAAUUGAAUUUUUAUUUAUGUUAAAUCACUAAAACUGUUAAAAUCUCACUCAAAUUUUGUGAUCCAUGGUUUAGAAUUUUUUUGAUGACAAGAUACAAAUGAUUACAAAAUCAUAGAAGUAAAAAAUCUCAUUAAACUAUAUGCAAUUUUAAAUACAUAAAUAUUUUAAUUUCAAAAAUUUCUUUAAAUAAGUUGUUGAUAAAAGCUUUGAGUAAAUAUUGAUAACUUAAUUUAAAAAAAAUUACCCAAACUAUUAAUCCCACAUAUUUUUUAUCAAUAAUUAAAAGUUUUGCUAUAAAAGAUACAAAUGAACAAAAAAAACCAUAUGAGUAGAAAACAUCAUUUUAUAGAUAUUAAUAUUAAAAAUAUACUGUAUAUAUGUUAAUAUCAUUCAAAUUUAAUUAAAUAUCAUAUCAAAUAGAAACAAUAUUGUUUGAAUUAAUAAAAUUUAUUUAUAUGUGGCCACCAAUUUAAUUAUAUACGUAAUAAUUACUGAAUUUUUAAUUAUUUAAUAUAUAUUUAUUAUUUUAUAAUAUGUAAAAACAUAUAAUACAUAAAAUAAUAUAUAUAUAAUUUUUAUCAUGCGCAUGGCGCGGGUCUUAACCUAGUAUUACUAGUAGUUAAGCACAUUCAACAAAUUUUUUUGUGUAUAUUGAAAAUCAACUGUUUAUAUGAUGAAUUUUUUUUUUGUCGACCUGAUGAAAACUAUAUUAACCUAGAGUAGUCUAAAGGAAAUUGCAGAUUUCAACAUGAAUGAUUUUUACUGGACAUUUUUAUAUUUUAAUUUUUUUACCUUUUCAAUUUAGUAUUAACUAUCUUUUUAAGAAACAAACUAACUAUUAAAUUUAAACUGAAAUCAUUGUUAACUAAAUUUAUACUGAUAUAUAUAUAUAUAUAGUUUCUUUCUUGAAUCGGAUACCACCACUAAACAUGUGGUAAAACUAAAUUAAUAUUACUUGGCCAGUCUGGAUUCGGACUUCAGCCCAAGUGGUUAACAUGGUGGAUCAUGAUAGAUGAUAGUCCACCCCUGGCAUUAGUAGGAAUAUAUUUCAGUGUGGUAACCAGUCCACUAUGUAGCACUAAAUAUAUUUUUCCCAGGGCCGACCGAAUCUGCCGAUAGUAUAUAUUAAAAAUAUAUGUGGCAGAAACUACGUACUAAUUUCUGUUAAUUUAUCAGAAACUACACAUAUGGGAUCUGAACAAAAAAAAACUAUAUAUGUAACAUCUUGACCAACCUUAUUUUGGUAAUUGAUUUAAAUUAGAUAGUUAAUAAUAUAAUUUAUACGAAAUAAAAUUUUAACUAGAUUAAAAUUAUGAGUGAUGUAAAAUUGCGAUAUACAAAAAUGUGGCAAAAUAAGGCGAAGCGCACUAACUCUACCAAUUUUUUUUUAAAAGAACCUAAUUUAUCUUUCGCCAUUUUCUGCAAAGCUCUGCCUCCGUCCCUUGUUCCGGUGACCACCGCGUCCUAUGCGGUCAUUGUAGGUCAGAUAUGGUGUCUCCACUCUUCUUGGUUCAGAUCUGGUGCUCCCGGCGUAGAUCUAGGAGACUCUCGGUGUUGUGGGCGACGCUUGAAGACGGUGAUGGCUCAUCGCUCUUGUCUCCUCCUCUCGUUUGGAGUCUCAGUUUGGUAAGGAAUUUUAUAGAUCUCGUCUAGCUUCUUUAGGUUAGGUGGCGCUGAUAACAUUUGAGAAUAAGAGAGAUUUGUGUUUUAGAAGAACUUAUUGAGACACAAACUAAAGAGAGAAAGACAUAGCUCAAAGAGCUUUAUUGUGCAAAGAAAUAAAGAAAGGGAGAAGCUUUGUGUUUGUCUUCAAGAACUAAAACAAAUGUUUGAUUUCAUAAAGUCUUUAAUGGAGGCUGCUUCUAUGAGCAGCAAGGUUACAAAACACAUUCUCAUAACAGUCAUAUUUAUAUGAAACUCUAGAACCCUAAACACUUGAACUUGUUGUCACUUCUUUGGGCUUCUGAAGAUUGCAUUGGGCUCCUUCUUUUGGGCUCUAAUACUCCCCCGCAAACUUAGCGUGGAUAGAGCAGCUACGCUGAGUUUGAAAGCACAGAUGGAGAUGGCUUGAGAUGAGCAUAAGUAGAUGAAGUAGGAUGCUUGAGGUGUUGGCAAAUGGCUCUACUCACCAUUGUAGACAAACAUUAGUGUGAGAUCUACUCAGACCUAUACUUGGAGAGUAUCACAUGGCUUCACUCAGAGGUUUCUCUUGAACUUGGAGAGCUUAGUUGAUCUCACUCAGAGGUGUAAUUAUGGCCUAUUUGUCUCACUAUGAAUCUAGGUUUACUUUACCUGUUUCAUUCUUCUAAUGUGUCUCAUGAAAAACUCUCUUUCCAUACCUACCAAUAAAACUAUACUCAAUCUCUGCUUCCCAUCAGUAUACUACCAAAAAACUCUGCCUCUAAACAAUCUGACUGUCUCAUUGGUAUUUCACCGAGCACCUUGUGUGCAUUAGUAUUAAAGACAGAGACUUGCAUCCAACUCCACACAUAACAAAUCCAAACAAGCCUAUCUCUUUCAACUUGUCUGUUCCAAACCUAUCUUAACCAGAAUCUAAACCAGCAUCAACUCAAUCCAGCACACGACAUAUAUAUUUUCUCAUCCACUGUUCUGUCUCAAGAAAAGAAACAGAGAUAAUACCGUGAAUAAGUGGUGAGGAAGCUGAAUAAGUCUUCAUUCUUCUCUAACUAGUUUGAGACCUGUCUGAAACUUCAACUAGAACAUCUUGUUGCAAGUGUAUUCGUCCGUUGCAGGAACAAAGACAAGAGGCAGCUCGCAUCUGGUGACAACAUGACGUUUCUUCAAACAAGGAACCAGUCUGGUCUUGUCUCGGACUUCAACAUGAAUAGGAGACUCUGAUCUGAUGAAAGCUUCGACCUUGAACUCUUUUUUUUUUCUUUUUUUUUUUAAUAGAGUUUGGUGGAAAGUUGGGAUGGCUAGACAGAGUGUGCAGAAGCUAGAAGAUGAUAGGAUAACCCAUGAGAACCGACUGAAGCUCUGAUACCAUGAUAACAUUUGAGAAUAAGAGAGAUUUGUGUUUUAGAAGAACUUAUUGAGACACAAACUAAAGAGAGAAAGACAUAGCUCAAAGAGCUUUAUUGUGCAAAGAAAUAAAGAAAGGGAGAAGCUUUGUGUUUGUCUUCAAGAACUAAAACAAAUGUUUGAUUUCAUAAAGUCUUUAAUGGAGGCUGCUUCUAUGAGCAGCAAGGUUACAAAACACAUUCUCAUAACAGUCAUAUUUAUAUGAAACUCUAGAACCCUAAACACUUGAACUUGUUGUCACUUCUUUGGGCUUCUGAAGAUUGCAUUGGGCUCCUUCUUUUGGGCUCUAAUAGGCGCAUGGCCCACAUCUCUUCCAAAUACGGGCCUCUUCCAAAUACGGUGUGGGUUGUCAGCGGUACCUUCCAAAUGCUUCCUCCUCCGUCAGUGUGGCGCGUUAUUUUUGUUGAUGUUGGAUCACUUUUCCCGAGUUGGAGCAGUUUGUGCUCCGGUCUCUUGCUCGGGUUUUUUUUCCACCAGUGGUCUCUGGUGGGUUGCAUAUAGUCGAAGGAGGAUGGCUUCUCAGCUCUCCUCACAGUUGGUUCAUGUGGCGGCAAAUUGUGGUUUUCUUCGGCUCUCCGCUUCGAAGCUCUGAGUUGCUGGCGGUGUGGCGCCCAACGCCCCUUCCUUCUCUCCAUAUUUCUACAUUUCAGGUUUGUUUGCUCGGAAGUGGACUGUAGUGGUUUGUUUUGAUAAGUGGCAGGAUGACUGUUGGGCAUUAGUCUGCGUACUCGCUUGGUGUUGGCUGCUCUGGAGGUUGUGUACCCUUCCAGUCGUUCUGUUCUAUAUGGACUUUUGGCUAAAAGGGUGUCUAGUCUCGGUUGGUGGGCUUGAAGGUGGCAAUCUUUAAUUUUCCUACCGUACGACAGCAUCGUCGGUUGGUGUCACUGCCUCGUGCCGCCGGAUGGUUAGUGUCGGAUUGGUAAGUAGGUUCAUGCUUGUGAUUCUUUGGAUUGGUUUGGGAGAAGUGGAUCCUUAGGAAGCUGUAGGCACCAUGCAUUCAAGGUUUGAGAGCGCCUUUCUCUCGGGUUCGUGGAAACUGCUUGGCCUUUUUACUCCAUUCCCGUUUCCUUGGUCUGAGCUUUCCUCGUUUUCUUUUGUUGCUUUGGCUAAUGCUUGCGUCUUACGAGUUCUUUAUCUUGUAUCGUAGCUCGUCUUUUGAUUUAAUUAUCGCUUUAUGCUACUAGUUUACUUUGUAAAAUCUGGUAAAAAUCUGAUAGUUUUGGUAUAAUAAAUUCAACAUUUUACAAAAAAAAAA